CGAGCUUUUAUUUAAGCAAACACUGAAGAAUUAUUACAGUUUUCAUAGUACAACCGGGAAGACUUUUUAUUUUAUUAUUUUAUUCCUCCCACUACUCCCACCUAUUUCCACUCACACGUUACUUUUGUCUUCCACCCAUCCACCACCUAUCUCCACUUUACAACACUAAAAAUUAGCUAAAUUCCCAUCCACCACCUACUCCCACCCUGUACUUACUCUCUUUCCAGCUUUAAACCAUGAUGGAAAGUAAAUAUUUUAGUCAUGUUUCCACUCUUCUCCUACGCCAAUAAUUCACAAGUCACCAACCUCAACAUAUACUCAUUCAGAGUUCAAGUUUAGCCAAGAACAACAGAAAGCAAUUCAUUCUCCUCACAAAUCAAGCAAUCGAGCCAAUUCAGAUUUCAACGGCUCAACUCAAAACUUCUAAAGGCUUUGUGGACCAAGGGGAUUAGCACUGCUUUCCCAAGACAGGUUAUGUGAUUAUGAUCUUCAGGCUUUGCCUAUCCAGGUUGAGCAACUGAUGGAAUGGAAUGAUGUUGAGCGGGUGUUCCUUUGACAUUUCAAGAAAUGUAACCUUGAGUAUACAUCUUCAUAUGUAUAUCUCACACGUUUUCCGCUGCAAAACACUUUGAUUAAGAUAGCUCUAUGAUAUGAAGUUGUGAUACGUGUUAUUGGGUAACCACCUUAAUCAGUUCUCAAUUAUGUGUAUCCAAAUAAUCAUAUAUGAUCCUAGCAUUUUAUCUAUGAGUGACAUUUCCAUAUACUUUAAUGUUAAGUAAUUGUCCAUUUCCAUUUCU